rnacentral:lncRNA from 1 species
UUUUCCAUUAGGAGGCAUGAACUGAGACAAACGUUUUGUUUUAAUUACUGUAGGUAUAGAUAUCAUUCAAAACAGAACUAACCCUAUUUAUAUAUAAAAUCUAAAUCAGAAUAGAUAAAUUAUACUUUAUUAUUAAAAAUAAGCAUCUAAGCUAAUUGAAUGAACAAGUAUGCGAGCGAAGUGAAUUGUUUUGAGGGAUGUAUGGACUAGGCACUGGAGUGACAGGAAUCCAGAAUGAGGAAUUGUGACUUUGUCAAAUCCCUGUUGGAUCAGUGUGUUCCUGCUGCCAGUAAAGACAAGAUGAUGAAGGGGGAUCUAGGAUCGUGUAACUGAGGUCAAAGUCAUUACAGAAACUGUAUGAAGAGUGAUGGCUCCUGUUGAGGAGGGUCUGGUCAGCUGGUUAUCAGGUUGUUCUUCCUCCCUUCAGAUUAGCAUUGUGUCAGCCCUCUUCAUCAUCAUUUAUGUCACAGUCUACAGCCUUUGUACAAGCUGUUUCAGUAUAUCUGACAGUGUUUCACCCAGGUAUUUGCACAGACGAGAGAAAACAAAUAUUCCAUCUGCACCUCAACAAAAUAAACUACCGGAGUCCCAGAGUGUUGAAUAUAUGCCAGAUGCCAAGGAUCUAACUGAUCAUAUAUACUCACUCGUGGAGGCUCAACUGAAUGAGGAAAAUCCUUAUGAGUGCAUUAGUGAGCCUCCACUACAGCCUCCAUCUGACAAAGCUGAAGGGGAGAAUGAGAGCCCUUCUCCAGCAAUGACAAAGCCUGAUGAUAAUCACUCCGUCUCAGCCCCCAACAAACCAGUAAACAAGCAGGCAGUGGAGCAGCCUGAUGCUUUACCUCAACAUCUGACCAACUCAGAACCGACUGCUGUCUAUGCUGCAGUGAACUGGAAAACCAAGAGUCAGAAGAACAUAGCACCUCUGUUUGAUACGGAUACUGUGGUUGAUAUGAGUGAUAUUGCUAAGGAGGCUGUCCCUCCUAUUCCAGACAAACAUUUCUAGUAUGACAGAAGGCCAACAUUUUAAUUUAAAAUACAUUAUUUGUAUUUAUUCACAUUUUGCAAGCCUUAAAACAAACUUGCAACACAAACAUGUUAAAAAUAAAUAUUUUUAUUUAUUUAUUUGCUUUUUAUCAUGUGAGCUAAUAAAUUUGUCCAUUCAUUGCCAUAACUUCAUAUAAAACUAUAAAGGAAUCCAACCAUGUCUGGGUUAUUGUAGGUCAGUGUGAGUCACAUGACACAAUGCCUCGAGGCAGUACCCAGACUGGAUUCAGAGACUGAAACCCAACAUGCUUGUGCUGUCCAGACCUAAAAUCCCCUUUGGAGGAUGAAGUCCGUCGGGCACGGCUGCCGACAGAAGAAAGCUUAUAAUCCCCAGACAUCAUUACAUGAUGAAUGCUUUCUUCUAAAUGUCUGUGUGUAAAUACACAAUGCUGAAUAUUUACGAAAUAGACCAAAUGAUGUAGGUGAAAGAUGACAUGUCAAUGGACUGCUCUGGAAACUGCAGAAUGCGGUCUAAACUGGGCAGUUACCUUAGAAUGACUUAAAAUAAUCUGUCUGUCGGUCUAUUCACACAUAGGCUAUAUAUUAAUAAAAAUGACAUCAUUAUUAUUGUGGAAUACUUUUUAUCAUGUAUAUUACAUUGGAAAUAAAAACAAUAUUUUGAACUAUAACUGUGAAACUAUUAUUUGACUCAUAGUA